AGUGAACGCUGGCGGUAGGUCUAACACAUGCAAGUCGAACGGCAGCACAGUAAGAGCUUGCUCUUACGGGUGGCGAGUGGCGGACGGGUGAGGAAUACAUCGGAAUCUACUUUUUCGUGGGGGAUAACGUAGGGAAACUUACGCUAAUACCGCAUACGACCUACGGGUGAAAGCAGGGGAUCUUCGGACCUUGCGCGAUUGAAUGAGCCGAUGUCGGAUUAGCUAGUUGGCGGGGUACAGGCCCACCAAGGCGACGAUCCGCAGCUGGUCUGAGAGGAUGAUCAGCCACACGGGAACGGGGACACGGUCCAGGCUCCUACGGGAGGCAGCAGUGGGGAAUAUUGGACAAUGGGCGCAAGCCUGAUCCAGCCAUACCGCGUGGGUGAAGAAGGCCUUCGGGUCGUAAAGCCCUUUUGUUGGGAAAGAAAAGCAGCAGGUUAAUACCCCGCUGUUCUGACGGUACCCAAAGAAUAAGCACCGGCUAACCUCGUG
rnacentral:rRNA from 1 species